AAAUUGAAGAGUUUGAUCAUGGCUCAGAUUGAACGCUGGCGGCAGGCCUAACACAUGCAAGUCGAACGGUAACAGGAAGCAGCUUGCUGCUUUGCUGACGAGUGGCGGACGGGUGAGUAAUGUCUGGGAAACUGCCUGAUGGAGGGGGAUAACUACUGGAAACGGUAGCUAAUACCGCAUAAUGUCGCAAGACCAAAGAGGGGGACCUUCGGGCCUCUUGCCAUCGGAUGUGCCCAGAUGGGAUUAGCUAGUAGGUGGGGUAACGGCUCACCUAGGCGACGAUCCCUAGCUGGUCUGAGAGGAUGACCAGCCACACUGGAACUGAGACACGGUCCAGACUC
rnacentral:rRNA from 1 species